rnacentral:lncRNA from 1 species
GUGAGAAUGUCUUCAGAAAUGUAGGAUCCUCUACUCAAACCUUCAGGUUUCUUGGCAGAGAAGAAUUUAAGGCCCAGAUUUUAGAGAAAGUGAAAGAACUUGAUUACAAAGCAAAAGUACACACUCAAAAGGCUGAGUGUGGCCAUACUUAGAGGCCAAGUAGCCUCCCAGUCAGAUGGUUGGUGGCUUAUAAUGUUCAGGGGAAGUAAUAUUUAUAAGCAGGGGUUGAAUAUGAAGGGAAUUCUCUUGAUUUGGGAGGUCUUUUGUGGAACCCUGCUCAAUUUCAUUAGCAUCUACUUAUGCAACCAAUGGGUGUAUAUGUACAUGUGGUAAUAAGCCUCAAUAAGUAAAAAGGUGAAAAUUAGGGUUAGGAAUGUCUCUGGAGCAUCUACAUGAGGAACCAGCCUGAGCUUGCUCAAGAUUGCAGUUGCUUUGUAGUUAGGUAGAAUACUGUUUUGUCCAGUCAGAUGCUAGUAGGAUAUUUAUGGUUGAGUAGGAGGCCUGAAAUUGACAAUAUCUUUUUUUAACUAAGAGCAGCUCACAAGUAGCCUGCUAACUCAGGACCCACUGACACCUACUUAUCCUGUUCCCUAUUUCAUAGAUCUGUGCUGUGCAGGUCUUAUGAGGAGUGUAUCUUAGAGAUAUGUGAUGUAGUUUCAUUUGUACAUUUGGGGUUGGAGUUGAAGUUCCUACUUUGGGUACAGGUGGACUGUUUGCACAUAUUCAUAUAUGGGCUGGAGCUGGCUGGCACUAGCUUGUGAGGGCUGAUGGUGCUCAACUAUGUCUAGUUCUGUGUUCAGUGGCAUCAGGUUGGUAGGCUGAAAUUAG